rnacentral:rRNA from 1 species
CCUACGGGAGGCUGCAGUGAGGAAUCUUGGUCAAUGGCCGGAAGGCUGAACCAGCCAUGCCGCGUGAAGGUCAGUGCCCUAUGGGCGUUAAACUUCUUUUGUGCGGGAGCAAUAAUGGUCACGUGUGGCCAGACGAGAGUACCGUACGACUAAGCAUCGGCUAACUCCGUGCCAGCAGCCGCGGUAAUACGGGGGAUGCAAGCGUUAUCCGGAUUUAUUGGGUUUAAAGGGUGCGUAGGGUGUGAGGUAAGUCAGCGGUGAAAUGCCCCCGCUCAACGGGGUGAAGUGCCAUUGAUACUGCCUAGCUGGAAUGCGGAUGCCGUGGGAGGAAUGUGUGGUGUAGCGGUGAAAUGCAUAGAUAUCACACAGAACACCGAUUGCGAAGGCAUCUCACGAAUCCGCGAUUGACGCUGAUGCACGAAAGCGUGGGGAUCAAACAGGAUUAGAUACCCGUGUAGUC